GGCUUGGUGAAGUGGUAUCACGGCGGUCUCCAAAACCGCAGUCAGGCGUUCGAUUCGCCUAGCCC
rnacentral:tRNA from 1 species